GGUUCGAUUGCCCAAGUUUGAGGUGAUUGAAUGUUUCGGCCCAGAGUUUAGGAUACUGUGGCUUGAAAUAAAGUUUGGUAAAU
rnacentral:sRNA from 1 species